UCUUCCCUCUUUCUUCGUGCCUCAUCCCUGCAAGUCGAGCGCACAGACGAGGAGCUUGCUCCUCUGACGUUAGCGGCGGACGGGUGAGUAACACGUGGAUAACCUACCUAUAAGACUGGGAUAACUUCGGGAAACCGGAGCUAAUACCGGAUAAUAUAUUGAACCGCAUGGUUCAAUAGUGAAAGACGGUUUUGCUGUCACUUAUAGAUGGAUCCGCGCCGCAUUAGCUAGUUGGUAAGGUAACGGCUUACCAAGGCAACGAUGCGUAGCCGACCUGAGAGGGUGAUCGGCCACACUGGAACUGAGACACGGUCCAGACUCCUACGGGAGGCAGCAGUAGGGAAUCUUCCGCAAUGGGCGAAAGCCUGACGGAGCAACGCCGCGUGAGUGAUGAAGGUCUUCGGAUCGUAAAACUCUGUGAUUAGGGAAGAACAAAUGUGUAAGUAACUAUGCACGUCUUGACGGUACCUAAUCAGAAAGCCACGGCUAACUACGUG
rnacentral:rRNA from 1 species